UACGUAGGGGGCAAGCGUUGUCCGGAAUCAUUGGGCGUAAAGAGCGCGUAGGCGGCCCGGUAAGUCCGCUGUGAAAGUCAAGGGCUCAACCCUUGAAUGCCGGUGGAUACUGUCGGGCUAGAGUCCGGAAGAGGCGAGUGGAAUUCCUGGUGUAGCGGUGAAAUGCGCAGAUAUCAGGAGGAACACCAAUGGCGAAGGCGGGAUCCUGGGCCAGUACUGACGCUGAGGAGCGAAAGCGUGGGGAGCAAACAGG
rnacentral:rRNA from 1 species